CGGGCAUCAAAGUUUUGAGACAACUGACUUUCAACUAGUUCUUUUCCAUCGAGACGCUGGCCGAGAAGGUUACUUUAGUUAUUUCUGGGUAAUUUCUUUCCCGACAUUGUUCUUCAUAAAAAAGGAUGGUGGAGAUGUUUCUCAAUGUGCAGUGCAGAUGAGUGCCCUGAAGUUCUGCAAGAUGUCUGUAAUUGUAUCAUGUUGCGAGAUGAAAAUGGGAAGAAAAUGGAAAUCUGAAAUGAUUCCUUGGUAAAUUUGGUGUUGAAGCUGUCAAUGGUGGUGAUUUCUGGUGUGCAGUGGUGUGGCAGUCAUUUUCUGAUUGAGAAAUGCACUCAUAUGAAGCUUCUGCAGACUUGCUGUUCAACAUCAGACUUGAAAAAACAAUGUUGGUGUCGAUGCAGUGUUGAGCUGUUGUGAAAAAUAGUUGGUGUUGUCAGAUGACUCUGGCAUUUUGUUGGUGUGUUCUUCUGCUUCCUGUACACAUGUUGAGUUCAAUCGGACGCCGCCGUUUCAGACUUGAUCCACUGGUGAAGCUGAGGAGAAGUUGUUAUUCAAGACUGAAUCUGAUAGAUUAUUAUUCAGAUUUAAACAAAU